AUAGAACAGAAGAAAACUUAUAAAUUGAAAUUAUGCAAGCCCAAGAGUCCAAGACUAAAUUUUUCACUGUAUUUCUACUGAUAAUUUUAUUUACAAAAACAAUGAUAAAUGUUCAGCUAUAGGUCGUCAGAGUACUGAAAUUGCAACUUAAUAGGUGUAAAUUAUAAAAAUUCAAAUUACCCAUGCAAGUACUCAUUAAGUUUUACGAUGAAACAUAAGACUGGGUAUCAUUGUGGGGCAAAUUUCGUAAAAUUUAUGAAUAUCGAUACAUUGACAAUGAUGAUAAGGUUAAUUAUCCAAGUGACAGACACAACAGUCAAUCCAACAAAUACGCUUGAUUUGUCGUGGCCGUGUGCAGGAUAAGGUCCAGAUUGAAGUUGGUGCAGACAGUAGCACAUAGCUUGGAUGAGUUUUAAACAAUGUUAUUUAAUCGAACAUUUUUAAACGGCAGAAUUUCUCAUUUAUGGAAACAUUGUAAUUAAAAUAUCUUCCAAUAUAUACCCAUUUAUGUUUUGUAAUCACUUCAGGAUUUCGAGAAUGCGACCGUUCAAAUUUUGGAAAUGUAAAUUACAUAUCUUGACUAAAACCUAUGA